GCUAGAGAGUAGUUGCGGUAGGCGGAAUGUAUGGUGUAGCGGUGAAAUGCUUAGAGAUCAUACAGAACACCGAUUGCGAAGGCAGCUUACCAAACUAUAUCUGACGUUGAGGCACGAAAGCGUGGGGAGCAAACAGGAUUAGAUACCCUGGUAGUCCACGCAGUAAACGAUGAUAACUCGUUGUCGGCGAUACACAGUCGGUGACUAAGCGAAAGCGAUAAGUUAUCCACCUGGGGAGUACGUUCGCAAGAAUGAAACUCAAAGGAAUUGACGGGGGCCCGCACAAGCGGAGGAACAUGUGGUUUAAUUCGAUGAUACGCGAGGAACCUUACCCGGGCUUGAAAGUUAGCGACGAUUCUUGAAAGAGGAUUUCCCUUCGGGGCGCGAAACUAGGUGCUGCAUGGUUGUCGUCAGCUCGUGCCGUGAGGUGUCGGGUUAAGUCCCAUAACGAGCGCAACCCCUACCGUUAGUUGCCAUCAGGUGAAGCUGGGCACUCUGGCGGGACUGCCGGUGUAAGCCGAGAGGAAGGUGGGGAUGACGUCAAAUCAGCACGGCCCUUACGUCCGGGGCUACACACGUGUUACAAUGGUAGGUACAGAGGGCAGCUACCCAGCGAUGGGAUGCGAAUCUCGAAAGCCUAUCUCAGUUCGGAUUGGAGGCUGAAACCCGCCUCCAUGAAGU
rnacentral:rRNA from 1 species